rnacentral:lncRNA from 1 species
UACUCUUCCCCUCCACCACCACCGUACAAGUACUCUUCACCACCACCACCACCCUACAAAUACUCUUCCCCACCACCACCACCAUACAAGUACUCAUCCCCACCUCCACCACCCUAUAAGUACAAGUCUCCACCACCACCACCAAAGAAGGCUUACAAGUACUCAUCCCCACCACCACCAGUUUAUAAGUAUAAGUCUCCUCCUCCUCCAGUUCACUCACCACCACCACAUUAUGUCUAUGCAUCACCUCCUCCACCUGUCCAUUCCCCACCACAAUACAUCUAUGCCUCACCUCCUCCCCCUCACUACUAGGCUGAGCAACCAUGUUGUAUUUGAGGAAUGUGUGGAAAUAAAGAAAGUGAUGGAUAGCAUAAAAAAGCACUUCGCAACUACACAAGAAGAAGCAGGGAACAAAGUUUCCGCGUUUUGUCCUUUAAAUAUAAAAGAAGUGUCACAUAACUUUCUAUAUAAGUGUAGAAUUCAAUUUCCUUUGUUUGUUUUGUUCAUUAUUAAGAAUGUGUAUUUGGAUUUCAAACAGUUGUGAGGCACUACGUUGUUGUUCUAUUGUCAUUGAUUAAUACAUGCAUUAUGGUUCUCACCCUGUUGCGUUUGCAAUGGGUUGGAAAGCCAUUCAUAUAAUAAAUAAAUAUAAAUAUUUGUCUCUCAAAAAAAAAA